UUAGUCACGAAUUUACGUGCUCAAUGGCUAGUACGGGCAUAUGCUUCUCCAUACUAUUGUAUUUAUCUUUUUCAAGCAAAAAUACGCAAGGAAAACUGUUGGAGGGUAAAAUAGUUCAGGGGGAUUACGUAAAAAUUAUUAAAUACCCUCAUGCCGUUUACUUAGAAAUAACAUGUGAAGAUAAAUCAAUGCAUAUUUGUGGAUCAUCUGUACUGAACCAGUAUUAUCUGAUUUCAGUAGCACACUGUUUUAAUACUGUUGGAGAAAAUGGCAAAAUAUUAGCUUUCGCUGGACAUGAAGAUAUAAACAAGGCAAAUGUGUUGAGAAAAAAUAUGAUACCAAUAAUCCACAGUAAAUAUGACCAUUAUAAAGUUGAAAAUGAUAUUGCUUUAUUAUUAUUGAAUAAAAAAUUGCCACUGGGGGAACGUACGCAGAGAAUUAUUAUAAUGAAGAAUUUUCCACCAGUGACUGCAGGUUCUAUAGCUGGAUGGGGAGUGAUCAAUGAUUUCACUGAUGAAGAAUCAUUUUUAUUAAAAUCUGUACCGCAAAAACUGAAAACCAGAAAAUAUUGCAACGUAUUAAGAUUAGGACCAGGGAUGUUUUGCGCCGGAAGCAUUCGAAUUUCUGAUCCGAGACCGGCUGCCGGAGAUUCUGGUAGUGGUUUGGUUACAGACAGCUAUCAAUUAAUAGGAGUCUUAUCAUACAAAGUGGCUGAGUACCCCGCUCUGCCUGUGUACACUAAUGUUUCAUAUUAUUAUAACUGGAUUAAUUAUCAGACUAAAUCUACAUUUUGUAUGGAGACAAGAUAAAACAA